CACGUAGGGGGCGAGCGUUGUCCGGAUUCAUUGGGCGUAAAGGGCGCGCAGGCGGCCCGGAAAGUCGGAUGUGAAAACUCGAGGCUCAACCUCGAGCGUGCACCCGAUACUGCCGGGCUUGAGGCAGGUAGGGGAGAUCGGAAUUCCUGGUGUAGCGGUGAAAUGCGCAGAUAUCAGGAAGAACACCUAUGGCGAAGGCAGCACUCUGGGACGGUACUGACGCUGAGACGCGAAAGCGUGGGGAGCGAACAGG
rnacentral:rRNA from 1 species